UACCUGCAGCUCAAGUGGUGACCGCUAUUAUUGGGCCUAAAACGUUCGUAGCCGGUUUAGUAAAUGCCUGGGUAAAUCGUGUAGCUUAACUAUACGAAUUCCGGGUAGACUGCUGGACUUGAGAUCGGGAGAGGCUAGAGGUACUCCUGGGGUAGAGGUGAAAUUUUGUAAUCCUAGGGGGACCACCAGUGGCGAAGGCGUCUAGCCAGAACGAGUCUGACGGUGAGGGACGAAGCCCUGGGGCGCAAACCGGAUUAGAUACCCGGGUAGUCCAGGGUGUAAACGCUGCUCGCUUGAUGUUGGUUGGGCUCCGAGCCCAACUAGUGUCGGAGAGAAGUUGUUAAGCGAGCUGCCUGGGAAGUACGGUCGCAAGACUGAAACUUAAAGGAAUUGGCGGGGGAGCGACAGCAACGGGUGGAGCGUGCGGUUU
rnacentral:rRNA from 1 species